CGUAGAGUUGCAUCUCUUUCCCAGUUUUGGCAAUAAUUGGUGAUUAAAAAAAUGUUACAGUGAUUCAAGACAGUCUUUCAGGAAACAAAUAUUGAAGCUUACAGUGCUUCAGGAAAUCUCAGAAAGCAUAAUGAAGAACACAGCAACAAGCUCUGAAUGAAGAGCUACAUUCCAUUCCCUUCUAUGAAAAUGGCAAACAGCUGAGCAGGGGUCUCAAACAUGCAGCCUGCGGACCUUUCGCUAACAGACCGUGGCUUCACAAGGAACAAGCUCCUGUGACUUUGCUAAAUGAGUCCACAAACAUGGUUGAAGCUGUGGAGGAUGAAGAGUGAUUCCACUGCUGCUCGCAUGCUGGCAUUAAAUUUGCCAGCUACACUAUGAAGGAUGGACAAUGUGAUGUUGGCUGGCUCCCCGAUGAAAGAUGUGCCUGUGGCAAUAAA
rnacentral:lncRNA from 1 species